rnacentral:lncRNA from 1 species
CAAAGUGGCAUAACUCUUGAUUCACAAGGCCAAUUCAUGUGGUUCUUUUUUGAGCAAACCAUAUUUGACAUGUACUUUCAUAAUGCAUCAUCACAUUUCAUCAAAAUUCAUCACAUAAAAAGUCCAUUUUUCAAGUGAAUUAAUUUUAAAAAGUGGAGGGAAAAAGUGAUUUUGCAAAAUAAGCGGGGCAUACACAUAAUUUCACUUGCAUCAGCUCACAAACAUGUUUUAAAACUUGCUCCAAAACAGAUUUUUGAGU